AUUGAACGCUGGCGGCAGGCCUAACACAUGCAAGUCGAGCGGUAGAGAGGUGCUUGCACCUCUUGAGAGCGGCGGACGGGUGAGUAAUGCCUAGGAAUCUGCCUGGUAGUGGGGGAUAACGCUCGGAAACGGACGCUAAUACCGCAUACGUCCUACGGGAGAAAGCAGGGGACCUUCGGGCCUUGCGCUAUCAGAUGAGCCUAGGUCGGAUUAGCUAGUUGGUGAGGUAAUGGCUCACCAAGGCGACGAUCCGUAACUGGUCUGAGAGGAUGAUCAGUCACACUGGAANUGAGACACGGUCCAGACUCCUACGGGAGGCAGCAGUGGGGAAUAUUGGACAAUGGGCGAAAGCCUGAUCCAGCCAUGCCGCGUGUGUGAAGAAGGUCUUCGGAUUGUAAAGCACUUUAAGUUGGGAGGAAGGGCAGUUACCUAAUACGUAUCUGUUUUGACGUUACCGACAGAAUAAGCACCGGC
rnacentral:rRNA from 1 species